CAACAAAAAGCGAGCCGCAACAAAGAGCUGAGCACUUAAAAGCCAACGAAGGCAACGGGGCGGAUGGUGAAUGUGAAUGUGAGUGUGAGUGUGAGUGUGAUUGUGCCGGUGAUGUGUGAGGAGCUGCCGUCAUCAGGCAGUCAGGCAAUAAAAGCAAAAUUGCCAUUCGAGCCAAGACCCUGCACUUUCCUCUUACCUCUCUCACUCCCCUUUCAGCACCCCCAUUUCCCCUCUCUGCCAACACAUGUGGCGUUUUUGCCUCAAUUAUUUUUAUUGGUUCGGCGCAAAAAUUUACGUUGCAUACUUUGCAGCGCCUGCUCGCCUGCCAUGGCGUUAAUUUCGUUAUGGAAAAUUGCAGCGACUUGACAUGUGAGCGUGCGAUGGGGAGUCCAAUGACGAGAAUCGGAAAGACAGGAGGGUGGCGGAGUUACACCAAAGUGCACAGGGAGAAUAUGUGAGCACUUUAUGCGAUACUUCUCACUCAAUAAAAACGUUAUGAAAAAACCAGACAAAAGCAUAAUUUAUCAAAAUCAAUGGCACUAUACAAUUUGCAUAAAUCUUCAAAUGCAGAUUCGUCCACCCCCGCGACGAAACAAAUGCAAUUGACCUGAAUUUCAAAUGGAAAGUGCAGAGCACGAGUCCUGCCAGCCCCAUGCCACAUUCUGUCUCCUUCGAGUAUCGAACAUCUUUCUACACUUCAACAUAAUCAAUGCGGAGAACGUGUAAAGGAGAUAUAUCUUUUUAUAUAAAGUUGGUAGUGACGGAUGGUAUGAGAACUGGAACUUGGCUAAUAAAAAAUGUAAAUUUAAAACACAAUUUGAGUGAAAAAAUCCAGGACAAUAAAUACAAAUUAGAUGAAAUGUCAAAGCAAAAACCAAAUAAUGGCAAGAGGGUGAACCAAAACAGAGUUUAAUAAUGUUAUCAGAUUUCUUAUACAUAAUGUCAUUAUUUUAAUAUUUUUUAUAAAUAUAUAUUUUUAUAAAAUAUUUUUUAUUUUUAAGAUAAAGUUAAAGUUAAGUAAGUUCAUCUUAAUUCCAUUCUCACGCUUCAUCUCUGGCUAAAACAUGGCACAAAUCCAAUAUGCUGCCCAGAGUCCUGACCAAGUACAAGUUACCAACUCACGUAGGACUCUGUGAGCUCGUUCCUUGGAAUAUCCUGCGGCCCCCUCGCCCUUCCCCACCUCGCUACUGUUGUCGCUGAGGGCAAUAUUUUCAAUGCGCUGUCGGUAAAAAUUACGCACUUUUAGUUGGUCGCCUCCGACCGUCGAUGUUUUCAGCGAGUUGUCAGACGUUUUUUUGCCCGUUUCGCUAGCCAGCGGCAGGACAUGAAUAUUUUAAAAAAAUUCGCAGGGCUCAUCGCAAGAUUGAGACGCUGUUAGGUCAGAGGUAGGACGGAAAAAGCACGGAACGAGGCCGAGAACGAGGACGAGGAGAAGCGCACACGCACAAUGAAUAAUUUAAGGACUCGAGAGGCAGACGAGUCCUGGCAUCAUCAAAUAAAUGCCAAAUGAGCAAUCAAAGUGCCAUGAAAGACUAACUAAGCAGAGCCACCAACUGAUGAGGAGCUGUAAAAAAUGAUGUACACGAAUUAUCGGGACAGUGGGCGGUUCUUGGGUGGAUGGGUGUUGUUUAGAUCGCAGCAAAUGAAGCGCAUAAACAGCGAAUAAAGUAUACAGACUUUUUUAUAUAUAUGUACACGAUUUUACGACAUAAAUAAGGAAAAGCUGUGUUUCCUUUCUCUUUUUUUAACAGAGAAGAGAAUUAUUUAUUCUUUUUGAUUAAGUGAGGAAUAUUUAUAAGAAAAUGGAUCUUAUUUUAACUAUAUAAUACUAAAAACUUAGCUAAAACUACAUAUAAGAGUUGAUAAAUAAAUAGCUAUUAUUCUUAAAUAUUAACCUACUUUUUGAUUUAUUUCCUUGGAAGCUCUUUGGAUACGAGUAUACUCCCUAAAAAAUUUAAAUUGGCGUACGCAUUGAAGACAAAAUGAAAUAGCUGGAAAAACUGAAUUAUAGAUUCAAGUUAAGGAGUAGAACUUGGCAGGCAUUCCUGCUCAGUCGAAGACAAAAACUUAUUAUACGCCGGGGCUUUGGCUGCAUCAGCUGGGACCUCGAUGGUUGGGGAGAAAUGGAGUGAGUGGGUGGGUUCUGAUAAAGGGGGUGCCACCACAGGCCACACUCCACUCCUCCCCCCACAGUCCCAUAUUGUCGAUACAUAAGCAAUUGGUAUGUACAACUGCGCCUCUUGGUAUCCCGCUAUUUCCCGAUUCCAACCCCCCCGACCACACGAUCCCACCAAGCCCAGCGAGAGAAAUGCGGUUAUGAAUUCCUGAACAGCAAAGUCGGCUAAAAGCAUCGACUGCAGUUGGCUCGAAGCGAGAAGAAGAAAACGAAGCGCCGGCACAAGUUUUUUAUUAAAACUUGUGCAGCGAAAUGAGCGCCAUGCCAAAUAAAAUAUAUAAAAACAAAAAGUUUCAUAAAGCAUUUGUGACUUUGCGCCAUUUUAUAUAUAUGGCUCUCAACUUAAAGUUUCUCGUGUGGGGCAACUAAAAAAAAAGCAGGAAAUAAGAGAGAAACAGGGGCAUUAACAAGGAACUGCUAUUGGAGGUCUUCGAGAGGACUUCGAGACAUUCUACGGGGCCAGGCACGUUUUGUGGCCAUAGUUCGAAACGAAAGUGGAAGAAUUUAUUGCAUUGACAUACUAAGACGCUUCUCAUGCCGUUGGCAAAAUGGGCCAAAUGCGCUCAACUGAAUAAAUUGAAAGUACCGCACCGCGAGGUAGAUAUAAGGAUACCAGGAAGACUUGUUCAACAUGCCAGGAUAAUAAAAUUGACUUUGGUAACGUCAAAGAAAAACACAAAAAUAAAACGAUUCGACAAUUGUUCUUAAAUUUUUGAUCAAAUUCUAAUAAUUUUUACCUGGUCCCAACCCCUUCAAACACAAAAGGCUUUCCUAAACAUUUUCAUUUAAAGCUUUAGCAUGUUUUCUGAUACUCCCCUUCCACAAUGUUCUCUCAACCCAUCAUUUGGACAAUUGGCCAAAACAUAGUUUUGGUUGCUAAGUUCAAAUGGCAAAAUGCAAAACCGAAAAACAAAAAGGCUGCAACUUAAGCCGACGUCAGCCCACACAAUACAGAAAUCCCAGUUUCGGCUUAAAUGCCACACAAAUUUGCAACAAAUUUUGCUGUUAUCGGAAUGACCCAUUGACUAUAGUGCAUUUUAGUUUAGGACCCAAACACACACUUUGAAAACACAACACACAUAUCGCUCUAAUGAAACGCAAUAUCUUCGAGACAA